rnacentral:misc_RNA from 1 species
AAAGAUUCACAUUCUGAUCAUCUCCACCAGUGAGAAACUGUCUACGCGUCUUCUUCCCAAACCUUAAACAGUUUACAUUCCCCGAAUGCGCCACAAAUUCCUGCAAUUUGUAGCCACGAUUAGCCAUUCUGCACCGCAAAUCGGAUAACUCGCCGGAAAACAACAAAGCAUAAGAUAAGAAGCACCGACAAAAGUCACCGUCCGUCGUCAACAGAGAGAAGAAAAACUUCCGAUUGUGGAUGACAGAGAGGGGAAGAAAGGAAGGGAGAGUGAGUGCAAAAUCUACAGAGAAAGUUAGGAAUCAAAUUUUGUUGAAGAAAAGUGAAAAAGCUA